CCCAUUGAACUGGUGCCUGACCUCUUUCUACUAUCCUGUCUUUGCCAUAUCCUCUGAUAUCCUCAUGACGAUCUCCUGUGAACUACAUAAGCUGACUCUCCAUCUGAUUAUUUCCAGAGCUCUGGAAGUUAACCUCUCAACAACCCAAUAACACCUUGUCACUGAAACACUUGUAAAUAAACUGUUCACUUGCACUAAACCCUCCGUCUCCAUAGUGGUUCGUGACAGAAAACUGGACCUACAUUGCAGGAACUGGGCAACCUCCUCCGGUCAGCACUCACUGCUUCAUCCACUUCCCAAUCUGCCUCCGCCAAUCCCAUGGCGCUGCCUGUGUCAUAUGUGGGGAAAUCAGCUGGAUGUGGCAGUUUCAUUCUACAGGUAUCGCUGUACAUUGAGGCAAAACCGCAGAAAUUCUCCACCGAUCACUCCAAGGUAGACUUCUUAAUUUCUCUAUCUGGGCACGCCCUGCAAUGGGCAAAAGCCUUAUGGGAUGUGAACAGUGCCAUUAUAAAUUUUUUUUUGAAGCUUUUACCGCCCACUUUAAAGAAGUGUUCAGCUCAUCAGCGGAAGAAAUCUCCACGGCAGAUCAACUACUGCGGUUGCGUCAAGGAGAAACAACGACCAGUUAAUACACAAUCCUGUUUUGAACAUUGGCGGUGGCUAGCGGUUGAAACGAAGCAGCGCUUAUAAGCACCUAUCAUCAAGGACUUAAUCCACAGAUCCGGGCACAAAUGGCGAUCUACGAAGAUUCCAUCAGAUUGGAGAACUUUAUGCUAAAGGCCAAUUGUGUUCCACAGCACCUAGCUGUUUGGCCAAUCGAAACUGCCCACCAGUCUGGUUCUCCCGCUAACAGCCCUCUAGUAUCAGAACCCAUGCAAGUGGAAUCCACACAUUUAUCAACUGAAGAACACAAACGAACUCACAGCAGAACUCUGCUCUUACUGUGCCUUGCCAGAUCAUGUCAUCUGUGCCUGGCCAGUAAAACCCCCAUGUCCUUCGCCCUGGUGGACUCGGGCUCCUCUGGCAACUUCAUCUCACAGCGCCUCCUAAGCCGCCUCCAGUUGCCACUCUGUCGGCAUGCUCAGAGUUGAAACUAUCCAAGGAAAGCCGUUAGGACAAGGGUGGGUUAAGUUUCAGGCACCCCCAUUAACUCAAGAUUGGCCUCUUUCAUGAAGAGGAGAUGCACUUCUUGGUACUGGAGGGACCCAUGGUCGAUAUCAUCCUGGGACGCCCCUGGCUCACAUUACACUCUCCGGAAAUCAGUUUCUGUUCUCCAGAGUGUCAAGUGGCUUCCACCCUCGUCAAGAGCCCUGAGCCUGAUGUUGCUCCAACGAUCCCACCUGAUUAUGUGGUGUUCCAGAAUGUGUUCAGCAAACAGGCAGCCAUCCACUUACCACCUGACAGGCCAUGGGACUCCAUCCCGGAGCGCAAGGCUAUGGAGGACUACAUCAAGGAGGCCCUCAAGCAAGGAUUCAUCCAACCAUCCAGCUCACCAGCUGCUUCCAGCUUCUUUGUGGGCAAGUAGGACAGGGGCUUGAGGUCUUGCAUUGAUUAUAGAGUCCUGAAUUCGCAGACAGUCAAGCUGCCGUAUCCACUUCCCCUGGUGCCUGCCACCAUUGAGGAACUCCGUGGUGCCCACAUCUUCUCCAAGCUGGACCUGCGGAGCGCUUAUAACCUCGUUCGAAUCCGCAAAGGGGAUGAAUGGAAGACAGCUUUCAUCACCCCUUCUGGUCAUUACGAGUACUGCGUUAUGCCGUAUGGACUCGCCUCCAACACCCCCCUCAAUCUUCCAAGGUUUCAUGAAUGAGGUGUUCCGGGAAUUCCUCC
ensembl:lncRNA